rnacentral:rRNA from 1 species
AAUAUUGGACAAUGGGUGCAACCCUGAUCCAGCCAUGCCGCGUGUGUGAAGAAGGUCUUCGGAUUGUAUAGCACUUUAAGUCGGGAGGAAGAGCUUUAGGUUAAUACCCUGAAGUUUUGACGUUACCAACAGUAGAAGCCCCGGCUAACUCUGUGCCAGCAGCCGCGGUAAUACCGAGGGUGCAAGCGUUAAUCGGAAUUACUGGGCGUAAAGCGCGCGUAGGUGGUUCAGUAAGAUGGGUGUGAAAUCCCCGGGCUUAACCUGGGAACUGCUUUCAUAACUGCUGAGCUGGAGUACGGUAGAGGGUAGUGGAAUUUCCUGUGUAGCGGUGAAAUGCGUAGAUAUAGGAAGGAACACCAGUGGCGAAGGCGACUACCUGGACUGAUACUGACACUGAGGUGCGAAAGCGUGGGGAGCAAACA